rnacentral:lncRNA from 1 species
AAACACAUUCAGUGAUGUUGAGGUUCAGGAUGGUCAGUCAGUCCAUUGGUAUUGUCUUAAUUUGUAACAGUGAUCUGGAAAUAGGGAGAAAGAAGCAGAAGAAUAAGAAGACAAGAAAAGACAAAGCCACUAAACCUCUACAUAGGUUUAGUCUACAAGACAAGUCAGUACAGACAGGAUGCAGAUUCAGACCAGCCUACUCCUUUAAUAUACGUACUCCCUUCUCAAAGACCAAGCUUACUGUCUCAGACUGCCUUCAUUGAGUUUACAACGCAGCGCAGGACCAGAAGC